rnacentral:ncRNA from 1 species
UGAAUACUUUUCCGGUACCCUUAUAUAAUUCCAGGAAUAUGGCCUGGAAGUCUCUACCGGGCGGCCGUAAACCGCCCUGGCUAUAAGGGGUAGUUGGUUAUUG